GGGCCCGCACAAGCGGCGGAGCAUGUUGCUUAAUUCGAAGAUACGCGCAGAACCUUACCAACACUUGACAUGUUCGUCGCGACUCUAAGAGAUUAGAGUUUUCGGUUCGGCCGGACGAAACACAGGUGCUGCAUGGCUGUCGUCAGCUCGUGUCGUGAGAUGUUGGUUAAGUCCCGCAACGAGCGCAACCCUCACUUUUAGUUGCCAUCAUUAAGUUGGGCACUCUGAAAGAACUGCCAGUGAUAAGCUGGAGGAAGGUGGGGAUGACGUCAAGUCCUCAUGGCCCUUACGUGUUGGGCUACACACGUGCUACAAUGGUAUCUACAACAGGAAGCAAGACUGCGAAGUUAAGCAAA
rnacentral:rRNA from 1 species